rnacentral:lncRNA from 1 species
GAGGCUUCCGUGCCCGCACCACCUGACGUCCUGGACCCAGGGGCAGGUGAUGCUCCGCUCCAGGGCUCAUUGGACCAGGACCCGCCCUUGGAUCCCUUACCACCUGAGGCAUCUUCCUCAUCUUCCCCAGAUGAGGCAGUGGCGGGCACGUCGAGCACAGGUCCACCCCCGAUAGAUCUCCGGGCACACCAGGACCUAUUACGUAGGGUGGCGCGUAAUAUGGACCUACAAGCAGAGGAGAUAGUGGAGGUGCAGGACCCCAUUAUAAACAUCCUCUCUGCGGAUGCCCCAUCCAGAGUGGCGUUGCCCCUGAUCCGUACGAUCCAGGCUAAUGCCAAUACGAUAUGGCAAACUCCUGCCUCUAUUCCACCCACUGCCAGAGGCGUGGAAAGAAAAUACUUUGUCCCCUCAAAGGACUAUGAGUACUUGUAUACUCAUCCCCAGCCGUGUUCACUGGUGGUGUCAUCAGUGAAUGCAAGGGAGCGCCACGGUCAACAGGCCGCAGUGCCCAAAUCGAAGGAAGCUAAGCGCCUCGAUUUGUUUGGGUGUAAGGUUUAUUCAGCCGGGGGGUUACAACUUAGAGCGGCUAACCAGCAGGCGCUCCUGAGCCGCUAUAACUUUAAUUCCUGGAACUCUAUGGGGAAGUUCAAGGAAUUGGUCCCCCAAGACUCCAGGGAAGAGUUUGGGGCCUUAGUGGAGGAGGGUAAGAAGGUGGCACGGACCUCCUUACAGGCCUCCUUGGACAUAGCAGACUCGGCUGCGAGAACCCUGGCUUCAGGUAUCGCUAUGCGAAGAAUCUCCUGGCUCCAGGUUUCGGGUUUGCCUCCGGAACUGCAGCAAACCCUGCAGGAUUUACCCUUUGAGGGACACGGAUUGUUUUCAGAUAAGACGGACUCUCGUCUGCAGAGCCUCAAGGACUCGAGAACAAUCAUGCGCUCCCUGGGGAUGCAUGUUGCGGGUCCCCAGCGCAGGCCAUUUAGGCCCCAGCCUCAGCGAUUCUACCCCCCCCCACCUCGUCAGAGACAGGACUCUGCCAGAAGGCGGGGGCGAGGUGGUAGGAGAAGGUUGACCGGCCCUCAACCCGGUCAGAACCAGGGGCCACCAAGGCCACCUUCAGGCCCCAGGCAGAACUUUUCAAGGUGCGGUCGAGGACGGCGCCCCAGUCAUCUCCCAGGAUCCAGCCCCCUCCUUUCGGGAUCGCCUCUCCCAUUUCCACCGUGCUUGGUCCCUUAUGACCU